rnacentral:rRNA from 1 species
UGGGGAGUACGACCGCAAGGUUGAAACUCAAAGGAAUUGACGGGGGCCCGCACAAGCGGUGGAGCAUGUGGUUUAAUUCGAAGCAACGCGAAGAACCUUACCAGGUCUUGACAUCCUUUGACCACUCUAGAGAUAGAGCUUUCCCUUCGGGGACAAAGUGACAGGUGGUGCAUGGUUGUCGUCAGCUCGUGUCGUGAGACGUUGGGUUAAGUCCCGCAACGAGCGCAACCCUUAUUGUUAGUUGCCAUCAUUCAGUUGGGCACUCUAGCGAGACUGCCGGUGACAAACCGGAGGAAGGUGGGGAUGACGUCAAAUCAUCAUGCCCCUUAUGACCUGGGCUACACACGUGCUACAAUGGGAAGUACAACGAGUCGCUAGACCGCGAGGUCAUGCAAAUCUCUUAAAGCUUCUCUCAGUUCGGAUUGCAGGCUGCAACUCGCCUGCAUGAAGCCGGAAUCGCUAGUAAUCGCGGAUCAGCACGCCGCGGUGAAUACGUUCCCGGGCCUUGUACACACCGCCCGUCACACCACGAGAGUUUGUAACACCCGAAGUCGGUGAGGUAACCUUUUUGGAGCCAGCCGCCUAAGGUGGGAUAGAUGAUUGGGGUGAAGUCGUAACAAGGUAACCAAGGGCGAAUUCGCGGCC